UGCCACCUCUCUGUUCGUAUUUGUUUGCAAUUAAAUCGAAUUAAACGUUGUGCAAAAGUUUUGUGCAGGUAGAAUGAGCGAUAAUGAUGCCGAAAGCGAUACGGAGAGCUAUUUUUUGACUCCAGUCAACGAGUAUAAUAUCGUGGAUAAAAUUCAAUUGGCAAAUAAUCAGCUUUUUGCAUCGAUAACCGAAAAUAACGCAAUGGAGAUAUUUGAAACAGAAACAAUAACAACAAACAAAAUCGAUAAAAAUUUGCUACAAUCAAAACAUCGUGUCACAUUUUCAUCUGAUAUUGAAGAGUAUGAGGAUGAAAUGAGUGAAGCCGAAAGUGCUGAAAUUCAGUACAAGGAUGACGAUGACGAAGCGAUUGAAAAAGAAAUUGCGGAAAUUAUCGAACGUGGUGAACGUCAACCAUCGAUAACAAUUGAACCCAUUGACAAUGAUCAAAUCGAUGGACUAUUGAAACGAAUCUCCAUCGAAGAAAUCUAUUCAAACGAUGAAGAUAGCUUAUCGGUUGAUAAUGAUUAUGCCACCGAAUUAGAAGUUGUUGAGGAAAUAAACGAAACCAUUGUGAACGAAAUGAAAAUCAGUGAAUUCGAAAAAACACCAUCACCAGUGCCAAUCAUCAAAUCAGACAGCGAUAAUGCAAAUUUACGUGUACAAAAUAAUAUUGAGACUGAAGAGAAGAAAAGACCACCGAUACUAGGUGAAAUGAAUGCAAACGAUAAUCCACCAUGUAGAGCGUGUAAUAAUAAAAGCACAUCAGCACGAAAUAAUAUAAAAAGUGCUGGCAUGAAAAGAUCGUCAAACACACCAUCAAAACGAAUUGUAUCGGCAAAUAUGCAACGAAAUGUGGUGAAUAAAAACAAUAGUAAUCAUGAUGAUCUGCUGAAGAUUCAUUUGAAUGUGAGAGCAUGUUGUGAAAAUAAGUAUUUAGAUAAUAAUCGAUUGCCACGAUACAAUGGAUACAUUUCACAGUAUGGACUAAGCAAGGAUCAAUUGGAAAUGCGGGAAAUGAAUCGCCAAAAAUAUUUAGAAAAACGUGCACGACGUGAACGCGAAAUACAACGAGCAAAACAGCAAAUUGAACAUUUGAAUGAAUUGGCAUUUCAACAGUGGCUCAUUCGAAAAAAUCAUUUGGCCAGGCCAAAAUACAAAAAUAUGUACGACACAGUGAUGCCAAGACCACAAUCAAUUAAAUACCAUUCAUCGACGAAAUUUCAAAAAUCAAGCGGAAACAGCUCAUAAAUACAGUACAAAAAAAUGAUCGAAAUGAAACCCUUGCCAUGACGAGUGUGUCAAAAAUAUUUCUUUUUUUGUUUUUAAUUAUUCUUGAUAAUCGCAAAUUCUACAACAAACAUCAUCCGGUAAAAUUUACAUGAGCAAGGUUCUCUAAAUUUCAAAUGAAGUAUUGUGAAAUUUGUUGGACAAAAAAGAGUGUCGUUUGAACUUUGUGCAAAUUGACCGUUAUCAUCAGUUAUCCAUACAUUCAGUUUCUCUGACCUCUAAUAUUUUUAUGUAUACGCUUUAACUGCGAUGGAAUGUUUCAUAUGAUCUAGGGCCAUGGCGUCGUUUUAUGAAAUUUUUUGCCACUGUAUGUUGACUGUGAGAGUAAGAGUGUAUGUCACGCAUAUUAAUGUCUCAACUGUGUUGUGAUGAGAGACGGUGCAUUCACAUUUUGCGUUGCGGUU